rnacentral:rRNA from 1 species
UCAGGACGAACGCUGGCGGCGUGCUUAACACAUGCAAGUCGAACGGAGUGAAGGGGAGCUUGCUCCUUGGAACUUAGUGGCAAACGGGUGAGUAACGCGUAGGCAACCUGCCCUUCAGAUGGGGACAACAUUUCGAAAGGAAUGCUAAUACCGAAUGACGUGCAUUGGUCGCAUGACCGAUGCACCAAAGGCCGGGCAACCGGUCACUGAAGGAUGGGCCUGCGUCUGAUUAGCUAGUUGGUGGGGUAACGGCCCACCAAGGCGACGAUCAGUAGCCGGUCUGAGAGGAUGAACGGCCACAUUGGGACUGAGACACGGCCCAAACUCCUACGGGAGGCAGCAGUGGGGAAUCUUCCGCAAUGGGCGCAAGCCUGACGGAGCAACGCCGCGUGAGUGAAGAAGGUUUUCGGAUCGUAAAGCUCUGUUGUCAGGGACGAGAGACUUGAUCAGGAAAUGGGUCAAGGAGGACGGUACCUGGCGAGAAAGCCACGGCUAACUACGUGCCAGCAGCCGCGGUAAUACGUAGGUGGCGAGCGUUGUCCGGAAUUAUUGGGCGUAAAGGGAGCGCAGGUGGGAUUGUAAGUCAGUCUUAAAAGUUCGGGGCUCAACCCCGUGAUGGGAUUGAAACUACAAUUCUUGAGUGCAGGAGAGGAAAGCGGAAUUCCUAGUGUAGCGGUGAAAUGCGUAGAUAUUAGGAGGAACACCAGUGGCGAAGGCGGCUUUC